rnacentral:ncRNA from 1 species
UUCGGUUUGACCCAAAAGGGAAUCCGGUCAGAAUCCGGAACAACCGCCAUUACUGUAUUUGACGUAAGAGAGCAUUUGCCAUUGGGAAAGCUGCGCUUUUCCGAGAAGGCUGUUCUUCCCGCAUAUCAGGUUUUGCGGGAUCAUAAGUCAGGAUACCUGCCGUAUUUUUA